rfam:Chaetomium thermophilum var. thermophilum DSM 1495 unplaced genomic scaffold scf7180000011823, whole genome shotgun sequence.
ACAUACGACCAUACCUAGUGGAAAACUCGGGAUCCCGUCCGCUCUCCCAUAGAUAAGCCACUAAGGGCGGGGUUAGUACUCAGGUCGGUGACGACUGGGGAAUCCCCCCGUGUUGUAUGUU